UACGUAGGGGGCUAGCGUUGUCCGGAAUCAUUGGGCGUAAAGAGCGUGUAGGCGGCCCGGUAAGUCCGCUGUAAAAGUCAAAGGCUCAACCUUUGAAUGUCAGUGGAUACUGCCAGGCUAGAGUCCGGAAGAGGCGAGUGGAACUCCUGGUGUAGCGGUGGAAUGCGCAGAUAUCAGGAAGAACACCAACGGCGAAGGCAGCUCGCUGGGACGGUACUGACGCUGAGACGCGAAAGCGUGGGGGAGCGAACAGG
rnacentral:rRNA from 1 species